CAAUAGCGUAUAUUUAAGUUGUUGCAGUUAAAAAGCUCGUAGUUGGAUUUCGGAUGGGACUUGCCGGUCCGGCGUUUCGAUGUGCACUGGCCAGUCCUAUCUUGUUGUCGGGGACUAGCUCCUGGGCUUCACUGUCCGGGACUAGGAGCUGACGAGGUUACUUUGAGUAAAUUAGAGUGUUCAAAGCAAGCCUACGCUCUGAAUACAUUAGCAUGGAAUAACACGAUAGGACUCUGGCUUAUCUUGUUGGUCUGUGAGACCAGAGUAAUGAUUAAGAGGGACAGUCGGGGGCAUUCGUAUUUCAUUGUCAGAGGUGAAAUUCUUGGAUUUAUGAAAGACGAACUUCUGCGAAAGCAUUUGUCAAGGAUGUUUUCAUUA
rnacentral:rRNA from 1 species